ensembl:lncRNA
GUUCUUCCCAUUCAGCUGACUUUUCAGGACUUGCCUGACCCUCUGCAGGUAUUUUGUGGUUGCAGCUUUCCUUGCCUAUUCAUGGUUUCCAUUUGCUUGUGGGAUUCCAAGGUGCUUGUAGCUGUCCCUGAUAUUGCUGAUACUGCCUUCUGGUAGUGCGAUGCCCUCAGGUCUGACUACCUUAACUCUAUUGGUUACCAUCCGACUACACUUCUUCAGUCCGAAUGACAUUCCAGUCUCAUUGCUGUAUAUCCUUGUGGUGUGGAUUAGCGAAUUGAGGUCUCGUUCACUCCUCGCAUACAGCUUGGUGUCAUCCAUGUAGAGGAGGUGGCUGAUGCUGAAUUCCAUCUGUAUCUGGUGUCACGGACUCAAGCUCCGGGGACUCGGGGUCCGUGAGCAGCGUGGACUACUGUUAUAAUUAUUGCUGUUAUUUUGUGAUGUGUGUGUUGUCUGCACUGCUGCUGUUCUUGUGAUUCCCCAUCCUUGUAUGUAUAGGCAAGUGGGUGUGUCUGUGAAUGUGGCUGAGUACUGGGUUUCAGGUAGGCCUGGUGGGCGUAUCCUGUCUAGAGGAUGGCCACACCUGAAGCAGAUGAUCACAAACCCUGAAGCUAAUGAAGUGUCGUUGGAGAGCUUCUUAAGGCUGUGGCUGAGCGCUCCUCGGCAUGGGAUUGUUGUGUGAGACUCCACGAAGGUGCAGGGAAGACAAGAGCAGCGAGCACGGGGUGUGGGGACACACAGGAGCGGAAGAGCACGGACUUGUGGGUGAAGACACGACACGGAAGUCAAGGGGAAAACACGGGGAUCUAUUCUGUGAACUAUUUGCACCACUGUAAAUAAACGCACUACCUUCAUCAUUAAGUCCUGCAUCUUGGGUCCUCAUUCCUCUCAUCCCCACGGUCUGCCACACAGACCGUAACAUCUGGUAUCCAUAGCCAGUCUUUUCAAUAAUCUCAUUGAGGGGUUCUGGCCUAUGUAGAAGAGCAGUGGGCACAGGACAUCUCCUUGGUAGAUUCCGCAGUUAAUGGUGAUUUUUGCUAUUUGCUUGAAGUUAGCCUCUAGUGUUGUUUUCCACAUUCCCGCUGAGUUCUGUUUUGGGUGCUUAACUACAUGUUAUUAGGAUACACUCAUGUGAAAAAGAAAGUUUUCACUGGAAAGAGUAGAGUCCUGUGAAAAUUGUAUGUACAUUUGUGUUUCUUUCAGUACCUCCUUUGUUUCUGUGUUUAUACCUUGGUCCCUUCUGUUUCCUGGUCUCUUUCAUCUCAGGUAUUAGUAGUUAUGUUCUAUUGUUUGGCUAUUUCCUGUUUUAUUUUAAAGUUAUUCCCUGAUUGUGUUCACCUAUUUGUUCAGUUAAAUAACUGAACUAAUAUAAAGACAUUCAUACAGAUAUUUUUUGUGUUCUCAUUUUUGCUUAGCUUUUAUCCAUUCAAUAAUAUUUUUUAAAUGUAUUUUCCUCUAAGCUGCUCUAUUUGACAUCCCUUUUAUGAGAUUUUCAUGAUUUUUCCUUUGCACCACCCAUUCUGUGUUGUCACUGUGUAUUCUGCAUAUUUUUCUGUAUACUUGUUGUCUGGAAAGCACCUUGAGUAAACUCCUGAUUGUUUCUAAGUGUGCAACAGAAAUAAAUGACCUGAAUUCAAGUCUGGGCCACAGAAGACCACUGCUGUACCUGAGCUCUUUUGUGGGUAAUUACAAAAGGGUACUUAUCACCAUGACAGCACAGCUGCACAAAUGACAACCAGCUGUGAGAGUUUACUUCCAGCUGCUGCCCCCAGGAAGCAUUAAAAGAUGUUUGUUUGAACUUUAGCAGACAUUAAAGCACACUUUUAAUAGAUUUUAGCUGACAUAAGAUUUCAGAAAGCCUGUAAUAACCUGGUUG